GGCUGCAACAAGAGAUGAAGAGAAAAGAAUGAAGGUUAUUUCAGAAGGGAGUUGUGCCAGCUAAAGUUGGUUGGGAAAGCUCUGUUGAGGAAUACCAGAUGCCCACAAGAUUUACUUUGUCCCAAGGAAUCAAAGAUAGGUGGUAGGAACCGCAGGUUGUUUGAAGCAUAUCAGGUACAGAAAGUUCCACAAGAAAAGUUUUCGCAACAACAUGAAAGUAUAAAGAAAAAGUACGUUUCCUUUCUGCAGAUCUUUGUAUUCAGGUCAGUUCGAUACGAAACUUGUGUUUUGUACUCCCUUUCUUACAUUUUUUUUACAAUCUUACAGCUGGAAGCUACUUAUCCAGAUGGGAGCAUUGUGGCUAUGUUUCAAAUCUUUGGAGGGUUGAUACAACGUGUACGCUUGUUAUCCCUGUUUUUAACUAUCUUAAAGGUAUCUUUAUUACUUCUAAAAUAUCACUAAAAAUGCAGUGCUACAGAGAUGAUAACAUUUUGUUGGUGUACAGAGACAUCAAUCAACAUUUGGACUCUAAACACAUAUUAAAUUCAGUCCAGAUAUUUGCAUGCAUAUCGUAUAAAAUGCGCUGAUUUAAGUAAAACCUUCAGCAGCAUUUGGUGGACCAGAUGUGAGGGUAGGGAAAGGGAGAGGCCACCGGCCACCUCCUUUUCUGAUUGGGACAUCCAUUGUAACCACACAAACUAUUGAUCAAAAGAUAUUAUUAUAAACAUAACAGAAACAUCAAUUUUAUUGAAAACAAGAAGAACAAGAAAGCAUAAGCCGGCAUGAAUACGAUGUCUGCUUUAGUAUUGUUACAGCUAAUUGGUUUCCUGGAAAACGCUUGCUUAACAGUGAUAUGUGGUCAGAUGACAUAAAUGAAGAAACAGGAUUCUUAGAGUCUGAAAGGUAGCAUUUGAAUUGUUCAAUUAAAAGCACAGAUGGGCAUGGAGUUCAGAAAGGGGAAAACAAAGAAGAAAGGUUGAUGGAUGGACUUCAUGGUGAGGUGGACCAUUCUUGCUCCUUUAUUAGAAAAGGUUGGCAGGUGAGGGCUAAGAGAUGGGGGGUGUCACCAUUGGAGUUAAGUGAAGUGCUCCAUGAUGUUGCAUCCAUCCAUCCAUCAGAUAUCAGGAUCAAGGUUAUUUGUGUGAUUCUUUUCUAGGAAGAUCAGCACUUCAUUAAAUAGAUAGAUGGAGCAUGGACCAAGGGAAUUAAAUUUGGAGACCUCAACAAGAAAAUAAGAUCUGUUUUCACAUAUUUCUGCCUCCUUAGGAACAUAUGAACUUUGUGGGAUAUGUAUGUGAAUUGAAAUUUCAUCUCCUUACCUCAUAUGCUAUGAAAAUUUCACAAAACUGAACAGAGUAGGAUAAACAGAUUUGCAACCCUCAUGGUAAAACAAUCUAAAGAAAUCUUACUCCCUUCCCUAAUUACAGCAACUACCAUGGCUCACACAAUUGAAUACACAAGAAAAUGUUGUGUAGCCACAAAUCAUCGCAAAGUUCAUCACCAUACACCCCUAGGCAACCAAGAAGAGGAAGAGAGAAGAGUACAAAACAGAACAUGGCAAAAUUCACCCAAACAGAAGACUAAAUCAACCAUUCAAACAUACUGAAUCACACAAGACAGAUAGACACAGAGACCAACAGAAGAAAAAAAAAACAAACUUCAUUAAAAUUCAGGCUCACAGAAAGCAAGAACCAGACGCAGGCUGACCUUGCAGAAACCUUGGAGAGCUGCAGCCUGCUCUUCACGUUUGUUCUUGGUUUCUUCUCCUCCUCCUCCUCCGUUUGAUUGAUUGAUUGAUUGAUUUCUUUCAGACAGAAGAAAGAAACGAACGAACAAAGAACAGACGCACGGGUUAUC
rnacentral:lncRNA from 1 species